CAGUGGGGAAUUUUGGACAAUGCUGGCGCAAGCCUGAUCCAGCAAUGCCGCGUGCAGGAWGAAGGCCUUCGGGUUGUAAACUGCUUUUGUACGGAACGAAAAGGCUCUGGUUAAUACCUGGGGCAUAUGACGGUACCGUAAGAAUAAGCACCGGCUAACUACGUGCCAGCAGCCGCGGUAAUACGUAGGGUGCAAGCGUUAAUCGGAAUUACUGGGCGUAAAGCGUGCGCAGGCGGUUUUGUAAGACAGGCGUGAAAUCCCCGGGCUCAACCUGGGAAUUGCGCUUGUGACUGCAAGGCUGGAGUGCGGCAGAGGGGGAUGGAAUUCCGCGUGUAGCAGUGAAAUGCGUAGAUAUGCGGAGGAACACCGAUGGCGAAGGCAAUCCCCUGGGCCUGCACUGACGCUCAUGCACGAAAGCGUGGGGAGCAAACAGGAUUAGAUACCCUGGUAGUCCACGCCCUAAACGAUGUCAACUGGUUGUUGGGUCUCUUCUGACUCAGUAACGAAGCUAACGCGUGAAGUUGACCGCCUGGGGAGUACGGCCGCAAGGUUGAAACUC
rnacentral:rRNA from 1 species